rnacentral:rRNA from 1 species
UACGUAGGGGGCUAGCGUUGUCCGGAAUCAUUGGGCGUAAAGAGCGUGUAGGCGGUCCGGUAAGUCCGCUGUGAAAGUCGGGGGCUCAACCCUCGAAUGCCGGUGGAUACUGUCGGGCUAGAGUGCGGAAGAGGCGAGUGGAAUUCCUGGUGUAGCGGUGAAAUGCGCAGAUAUCAGGAGGAACACCAAUGGCGAAGGCAGCUCGCUGGGACGGUACUGACGCUGGAGGCGCGAAAGCGUGGGGAGCGAACAGG